rnacentral:rRNA from 1 species
UACGGAGGAUGCAAGCGUUAUCCGGAAUGAUUGGGCGUAAAGCGUCCGCAGGUGGCAAUGUAAGUCUGCUGUUAAAGAGUCUAGCUCAACUAGAUAAGAGCAGUGGAAACUACAUAGCUAGAGUACGUUCGGGGCAGAGGGAAUUCCUGGUGUAGCGGUGAAAUGCGUAGAGAUCAGGAAGAACACCAGUAGCGAAGGCGCUCUGCUAGGCCGUAACUGACACUGAGGGACGAAAGCUAGGGGAGCGAACAGG